rnacentral:rRNA from 1 species
UACAGAGGGUGCUAGCGUUGUUCGGAAUCAUUGGGCGUAAAGGGCGCGUAGGCGGGCUGUCAAGUUUGGGGGUGAAAUCCCGCGGCUCAACCGUGGAACUGCCUCAAAUACUGACGGUCUCGAGGGAGGUAGGGGCGAGCGGAACUGAUGGUGGAGCGGUGAAAUGCGUUGAUAUCAUCAGGAACUCCGGUGGCGAAGGCGGCUCACUGGACCUCUUCUGACGCUGAGGCGCGAAAGCUAGGGGAGCAAACGGG